rnacentral:rRNA from 1 species
UUGGAGGGCAAGUCUGGUGCCAGCAGCCGCGGUAAUUCCAGCUCCAAUAGCGUAUAUUUAAGUUGUUGCAGUUAAAAAGCUCGUAGUUGGAUUUCGGGAUUAGUACGUCGGUCGUGCCUUAGGUACGUACUGGUGUUACUGGUUCCUACCUUCUGACGAACCAUCAUGUCAUUAAUUUGGUGUGGUGGGGAAUCAGGACUGUUACUUUGAAAAAAUUAGAGUGUUUAAAGCAGGCUCGCGCUUGAAUACAUUAGCAUGGAAUAAUGAAAUAGGACGUUGAUCCUAUUUUGUUGGUUUCUAGGAUUGACGUAAUGAUUAAUAGGGAUAGUUGGGGGCAUUAGUAUUCAAUUGUCAGAGGUGAAAUUCUUGGAUUUAUUGAAGACUAACUACUGCGAAAGCAUUUGCCAAGGAUGUUUUCAUUAAUCAAGAACGAAAGUUAGGGGAUCGAAGACGAUCAGAUACCGUCGUAGUCUUAACCAUAAACUAUGCCGACUAGGGAUCGGAUGAUGUUAUUUUUAAUGACUCAUUCGGCGCCUUACGGGAAAC